ACAAAUUUUUGGAAAAAGGAUGCUGUUAUGAUAAAGCUUGAAGCACCUCGGAUAAUACGAAGCUUCGGUUAAACUGGUCUCGGAUAAGCAAGACGACAGUGUACCUCAUAUUGCGAGAAGGAGAAUUUCGUAUGACUUUUUUAUUGAUAGUAAAUAUUGGCAACUACCAAUACCACCUAAUGACAAAAUCCGCAAUCACUUAGUUGCCAAGCCAAUAAGAAUCAGCCGCGUAGUAGUGACACGCAUAUAUGAGUAUGAGUGCGUUGGAGUAUGUGCAUGCGCAGCGUCUCGUAAGACGGAAGAAUGCAACUGUUCCGUUGGUAAGGAAGUUGAUGAGACAAAGAGAGUGCUGAGACGCGUGCAAUGUGUAUCGACGAAUAUCUUGUCAAUCGCGUAUCAAAUAAAUCUGAAACUAUUUUUAUAUCAAUUCUAAGUGUAAUCUAAAUGUUCCUAUACAUUUAUUUCGGUGAUUAAGAUGCACAAUUAUCAACACAUACAUUAUGAUCAUAUUGAUUUUAUCGAUGAAGUUUGAAACCAAUCUAAGCAUGUAAUACAUGGAGAUUGUAAGAUAUUUGGUACAAGUAUAUAUUUUGCAGACAAAUUUCAUUUAUUAUAAUGUUAUUUAUAAUGAUACUUCUAAUAAUAUAUUUAUUCAUAUUUUGACUAUAUAUGUUUAUAUACACUCAUUGUAUUUAUAAAUUGUAUAAUACAUUAUUAUGUAUAAUACUAAUUUCUUACAGGAAUAACAAAAACCACAAUAUUUGAGCAGUCGAUUGUCUAUAAUUUAUUGUACGAAUAAACCUGGAUAUUUUCAAUGCAACUUUCAUACGUUUUGCAACAAAUGUCUUACAACUUCCAUAUACAUUUUCAGGCUGGUUGCAAAUUUUAUCGAUCGCGACAGUCGUGUCUCGAUGUAACGUCAAUGAAAUGUCGAAAUUCUUCCAUACGACGCAUACAGGUAUCGAUAUGAAAAUCUUGUGCGAUAAGUGUUCCGAUACUUUCGUGUAAUCGAAUUGUCUAAUCUAUCAGAAACAGAUCGGCGAGUUGGGAAAUGCGACAACUGGUUGCAAGCUGAUAAAAAGGCAAUUCUAUUCUCGUAUAAAGUCAAAUCAGCUACGUUGUGCAGUGAAUUUGAACAGAUAUGCAAAUGCAACGCGUUAAUUGCACUUCUUUCGCUACUAUUUUACGCUGGUAGAGUCGUCAGGCUGCUCUGUUUGUAUUUCAUCCGGUGAUUAGCUACAAAUUGACCGUUAAAGAGUUAGCCUGCGUGGCGAGAUACGCAGCCACGAAUUAUUCACAGUGUUUUACUUUCGAAACUUCGCGACACUUAAGCUGCUUGGAUGAAAUGAAGUUGCGUCGCGUGUAACCGCGAAUCGUUGACAGGCUGCAAUUAACUUUUCUAGAACGCGAUAUCCUUAGAACAAAGUUUCAGGCGAAUGCACUGCACACAUUUCAGGCUAUUAAACCCUUUGCGCUGGAAGUUUUGUUUGAUUACGAGGAAAGAAAUUCCAAUGAUUUACAGUUUCUUGUUAUAAUACAAAAGUCGAAGACUGAUAAUUAUAGCUGCUAUGGGUAGACUGUUAUUUUAUACUGUUAUGUUAUUGUAUGUUAUUGUUAUUAUUAUAUUACUAUUUAUUUAUUUUACUUAUUUUGUCAUACUUUUUAUUAUACUGUUAUAAAUGAAUGAAACAAAGAUAGAAAGAUACUUGUACAGGUUUCUAUAUAAUUUCCAAAUUAUUCUAAUUAAUUGUAGUUUCUUUCUAUGACACAAAAGUUGGCUAAGUAGACUAUUUUAAAUUGUAUAUUUAACAAGUAGACUACUUGGUAACAGCGAUGAAUAAAUAAAAUGUAGACAAAGAAAUACUUGUACGUGUUUAUACAUAAUUUCCAAAUUAUUCUAAUUAAGUAUAGUUUCCUGCUAUGACAUAAAAGUUGAAUAAUAUUAAUUGCCUAAGUAGACUAUUUUAAAUUGUAUAUUAAAUAGGUAGACUACUUGGUAACAGCGAUGAAUAAAUAAAAUACAGAUAAAGAAAUACUUGUACGUGUUUAUAUAUCAAUUUCCAAAUUAUUCUAAUUAAUUGUAGUUUUUUGCCAUGACAUAGAAGUUGAAUAUUAUUAAUUGCCUAAGUAGACUAUAUUAAAUUGCAUAUUAAACAAGUAGACUACUUGGUAACAGCGAUGAGUAAAUAAAAUACAGAUAAAGAAAUACCUGUACGUUUUAUAUAUAAUUUCCAAAUUAUUCUAAUUAAUUAUAGUUUCCUGCUAUGACAUAAAAGUUGAAUAUUAUUAAUUGCCUAAGUAGACUACUUGGUAACAGCGAGGAAUAAAUAAAAUACAGAUAAACAAAUACUUGUACGCGUUUGUGCAUUAUUUGUAGUUAUAUAUUAUUUAUUUAUUAAUUUAUUAAGAAUUAAUAAAAGCAUACUUGGGGCUGAUUUAAUGCUGCCAUUGUUUUUCGCCGAACAUUAAAUUCGAUAAUCAACAGACGUUCUUGUAUCAUCUCACCAUCUCAAUAGCAACAGUUCUUUUUGUAAAACAA
rnacentral:lncRNA from 1 species